CUAGUCUGGGUUGGCGGUCUUCACCAGGAGGUCAGAUGGAGCUCCCCCGUCCAGAGUACCACGUCCUGGUCUUCCUCCUGUCUCUCUGUCUCUCCACCCCAGGGGAUUUCAAGCAGGGGCUACGGAAUGUGUUCUCUCUUCAGGAACAGGUGAUGAGUUGGACUGAAGCCCAGUUUACUUGCAAGACUACAAAUGGUACGGGCCAGCACCGUUUAGCUAACGUCAGGAACACCUCCGAGGUGAAGAUGUUGUCUCGUGUCUGUAACGACAUACCUGAUAAUGAUCUCAACGAGGCUAAAUGUUUUGUCGGUCUUCGCAAGCGAGGCAAUACUUGGAACAGGACGGACGGGGAGGAGAACGUCCUACCCUUGCAGCCCAUGGACAAGAAUGAGAGGGACGAGAGGGACGUGAAGAAGGAGAAUGACAAGGAGAAGAAUGACAAAGACGACAAGGACGACAAGGCCAAGGACGACAAGGCCAAGGACGACAAGGACAAGGACGACAAGGCCAAGGACGACAAGGCCAAGGACGACAAGGACAAGGACGACAAGGCCAGGGCGACAAGGCCAAGGACGACAAGGCCAAGGACAAGGACGACAAGGACAAGGACGACAAGGACGACAAGGACAAGGACGACAAGGACGACAAGGCCAAGGACGACAAGGACGACAAGGCCAAGGACGACAAGGCCAAGGACAACAAGGCCAAGGACGACAAGGCCAAGGACGACAAGGCCAACAAGGACAAGGACGACAAGGACGACAAGGCCAAGGACGACAAGGACAAGAAGGCCAAGGACGACAAGGACAAGAAGGACGAGAAGGACGAGAAGGACGAAUGUGCUAUUGUCUAUCAGGACAAUCUGCACAUACAUCCUUGCAAUGAUAAACUGGCCCAUAUUUGUGAGAAGUACUUUUUCGUGUUGGUGAAGGAGGAGAAGUCUUGGGAGGAAGCUCUGCUCCACUGCAGGGCAAUGGGAGUGGACAAAGGGCUUCCGCCGCGUUCGUAUGAUCUCCUCAGCUUGCACACCCACGAGGAUUUAUCCUUCGCCCAGGAAGAGCUGGUCCACGCCGGGACGAGGGAGGUGUGGGUCGGCCUGCGCUGGCUGGCGGCCCGCUGGCUGUGGAUGGACGGGGAGGAACACAGCGUCUGGAAGUGUCCCGCCGACUUGACCCACUGUGGGAGUCUGUCUAGGCAGCGUCUGGACGCCAGGAGCUGUAUGGAGAAGAGGAACUUCUUCUGUCAGCGAGUGAACGCUGUUAAUAAUGUUUAAUAUUAUUACAUAGAUGAUUCCACAAGCUGACCGUUUUUGUGCAUGUAGAUUUUAGGACAAGCUUAAAUCUAGUAGCUCUACGACAUACAUUUUUACUAUGAAUAAAUGUUGUAUGCCACUAUUGUUUUUCCUAAAAGAUUAUAUUCUCCAUUCUUCCAAUUCAUUCAGAGGACACAUUUCCCGCUCAUUCUAUAUUUAGGCACCUUCACGGUUUGGAGGGAUAUCAAUAAUGUGUUUGUUGGGGUGUGGGUGAUAUUCUAUGAUACAGUCUAUCGGUGUCUAUCACUGACAUGGUUAACUGUUGCUUGACCAAUUACUUUUCUUUUUUGUCUGUUUUUCUAUGGUUGUUUUAUUUUAGUCUUGUCAGUCUUUGUAAGCUGUUUUUGGUGUUGAGCAAUAUGUAAAGAAAUAUAUACGUAUCUAUAAAUGUGUCUACAAAAUAGCAAAUAUGUUACUUUUUAUUAAUGCUCACAAUGUGACAAUUAUCUGCUCCUGCAAAAACCCAAUAAACAAAGUAGAAAAAACAAUAAUACAA
ensembl:lncRNA